rnacentral:rRNA from 1 species
CCCCMUGUUCUAGCUGUUUCAUUGUUUGUACGCGACGGCCAGRGGAUCCGGAMUCGUGGGUCGGAUSUGUUUCCAGUGCGYCCUUARAGUUUGAUCCUGGCUCAKAACKAACGCUGGCGGCGUGCUUAACACAUGCAAGUCGAACGUGAUUGAGAGCUUGCUCUCAUGAAAGUGGCGCACGGGUGAGUAACACGUGGAUAAUCUGCCUGGCGAUUCGGGAUAACACUUCGAAAGGGGUGCUAAUACCGGAUAAGCCCACGGUCUCUUCGGAGAGUGCGGGAAAAGGGGGCCUCUGUAUAUGCUCCUGUCGCUAGAUGAGUCCGCGGCCCAUUAGCUAGUUGGUAGGGUAAUGGCCUACCAAGGCUACRAUGGGUAGCUGGUCUGAGAGGAUGAUCAGCCACACUGGAACUGAGACACGGUCCARACUCCUACGGGAGGCAGCAGUGGGGAAUUUUGCGCAAAGGGCGAAAGCCUGACGCAGCAACGCCGCGUGAGUGAUGAAGGCCUUCGGGUCGUAAAGCUCUGUCAGUGGGGAAGAACCGCCGGGUGGUUAAUACCUGCCUGGUCUGACGGUACCCACAAAGGAAGCACCGGCUAACUCCGUGCCAGCAGCCGCGGUAAUAC